rnacentral:lncRNA from 1 species
UCCAGAAUUUUGUAGGCUCUCUGAUCAAUUAGCGGUCCUCAGUUUUUUCAAACUUCCGAAAUUAACUUGCUAAACUUCCAACACUCCCCAGGAUCAAUGUCGAAAAUUUUGCUCUUUUUCCUAAUUGGAUUGAUAUUAAUCAUCCAAAGUUAUGGAAUUCUCCUGCCUUGUAGGCUUGGCGGCCACUUGUGCGAAGACACCAAAUCUUGCUGUGGCGCUUUGACCUGCGACGAAUUAACAAAACGGUGUGUGUCAAGCUUUAUUAUCGCCACCAAGUCUUAAUUUUGUGAAUUUAAAAAAAUUAGUGUAAAAAUAGUUCAAUAAAAAUUAUAAAUAAUUAAAAU